UUAAUUGAAGAGUUUGAUCAUGGCUCAGAUUGAACGCUGGCGGCAGGCCUAACACAUGCAAGUCGAGCGGUAACAUUUCAAAAGCUUGCUUUUGAAGAUGACGAGCGGCGGACGGGUGAGUAAUGCCUGGGAAUUUGCCCAUUUGUGGGGGAUAACAGUUGGAAACGACUGCUAAUACCGCAUACGCCCUACGGGGGAAAGCAGGGGACCUUCGGGCCUUGCGCUGAUGGAUAAGCCCAGGUGGGAUUAGCUAGUAGGUGAGGUAAAGGCUCACCUAGG
rnacentral:rRNA from 1 species